rnacentral:rRNA from 1 species
UUAAGCGACUAAGCGUACACGGUGGAUGCCCUGGCAGUCAGAGGCGAUGAAGGACGUGCUAAUCUGCGAUAAGCGUCGGUAAGGUGAUAUGAACCGUUAUAACCGGCGAUUUCCGAAUGGGGAAACCCAGUGUGAUUCGUCACACUAUCAUUAACUGAAUCCAUAGGUUAAUGAGGCGAACCGGGGGAACUGAAACAUCUAAGUACCCCGAGGAAAAGAAAUCAACCGAGAUUCCCCCAGUAGCGGCGAGCGAACGGGGAGCAGCCCAGAGCCUGAAUCAGUGUGUGUGUUAGUGGAAGCGUCUGGAAAGGCGCGCGAUACAGGGUGACAGCCCCGUACACAAAAAUGCACAUACUGUGAGCUCGACGAGUAGGGCGGGACACGUGGUAUCCUGUCUGAAUAUGGGGGGACCAUCCUCCAAGGCUAAAUACUCCUGACUGACCGAUAGUGAACCAGUACCGUGAGGGAAAGGCGAAAAGAACCCCGGCGAGGGGAGUGAAAAAGAACCUGAAACCGUGUACGUACAAGCAGUGGGAGCCUCUUUAUGGGGUGACUGCGUACCUUUUGUAUAAUGGGUCAGCGACUUAUAUUCUGUAGCAAGGUUAACCGAAUAGGGGAGCCGAAGGGAAACCGAGUCUUAACUGGGCGUUAAGUUGCAGGGUAUAGACCCGAAACCCGGUGAUCUAGCCAUGGGCAGGUUGAAGGUUGGGUAACACUAACUGGAGGACCGAACCGACUAAUGUUGAAAAAUUAGCGGAUGACUUGUGGCUGGGGGUGAAAGGCCAAUCAAACCGGGAGAUAGCUGGUUCUCCCCGAAAGCUAUUUAGGUAGCGCCUCGUGAAUUCAUCUCCGGGGGUAGAGCACUGUUUCGGCAAGGGGGUCAUCCCGACUUACCAACCCGAUGCAAACUGCGAAUACCGGAGAAUGUUAUCACGGGAGACACACGGCGGGUGCUAACGUCCGUCGUGAAGAGGGAAACAACCCAGACCGCCAGCUAAGGUCCCAAAGUCAUGGUUAAGUGGGAAACGAUGUGGGAAGGCCCAGACAGCCAGGAUGUUGGCUUAGAAGCAGCCAUCAUUUAAAGAAAGCGUAAUAGCUCACUGGUCGAGUCGGCCUGCGCGGAAGAUGUAACGGGGCUAAACCAUGCACCGAAGCUGCGGCAGCGACACUAUGUGUUGUUGGGUAGGGGAGCGUUCUGUAAGCCUGUGAAGGUGUGCUGUGAGGUAUGCUGGAGGUAUCAGAAGUGCGAAUGCUGACAUAAGUAACGAUAAAGCGGGUGAAAAGCCCGCUCGCCGGAAGACCAAGGGUUCCUGUCCAACGUUAAUCGGGGCAGGGUGAGUCGACCCCUAAGGCGAGGCCGAAAGGCGUAGUCGAUGGGAAACAGGUUAAUAUUCCUGUACUUGGUGUUACUGCGAAGGGGGGACGGAGAAGGCUAUGUUGGCCGGGCGACGGUUGUCCCGGUUUAAGCGUGUAGGCUGGUUUUCCAGGCAAAUCCGGAAAAUCAAGGCUGAGGCGUGAUGACGAGGCACUACGGUGCUGAAGCAACAAAUGCCCUGCUUCCAGGAAAAGCCUCUAAGCAUCAGGUAACAUCAAAUCGUACCCCAAACCGACACAGGUGGUCAGGUAGAGAAUACCAAGGCGCUUGAGAGAACUCGGGUGAAGGAACUAGGCAAAAUGGUGCCGUAACUUCGGGAGAAGGCACGCUGAUACGUAGGUGAAGUCCCUUGCGGAUGGAGCUGAAAUCAGUCGAAGAUACCAGCUGGCUGCAACUGUUUAUUAAAAACACAGCACUGUGCAAACACGAAAGUGGACGUAUACGGUGUGACGCCUGCCCGGUGCCGGAAGGUUAAUUGAUGGGGUUAGCGGUAACGCGAAGCUCUUGAUCGAAGCCCCGGUAAACGGCGGCCGUAACUAUAACGGUCCUAAGGUAGCGAAAUUCCUUGUCGGGUAAGUUCCGACCUGCACGAAUGGCGUAAUGAUGGCCAGGCUGUCUCCACCCGAGACUCAGUGAAAUUGAACUCGCUGUGAAGAUGCAGUGUACCCGCGGCAAGACGGAAAGACCCCGUGAACCUUUACUAUAGCUUGACACUGAACAUUGAGCCUUGAUGUGUAGGAUAGGUGGGAGGCUUUGAAGUGUGGACGCCAGUCUGCAUGGAGCCGACCUUGAAAUACCACCCUUUAAUGUUUGAUGUUCUAACGUUGGCCCCUGAUCGGGGUUGCGGACAGUGUCUGGUGGGUAGUUUGACUGGGGCGGUCUCCUCCUAAAGAGUAACGGAGGAGCACGAAGGUUGGCUAAUCCUGGUCGGACAUCAGGAGGUUAGUGCAAUGGCAUAAGCCAGCUUGACUGCGAGCGUGACGGCGCGAGCAGGUGCGAAAGCAGGUCAUAGUGAUCCGGUGGUUCUGAAUGGAAGGGCCAUCGCUCAACGGAUAAAAGGUACUCCGGGGAUAACAGGCUGAUACCGCCCAAGAGUUCAUAUCGACGGCGGUGUUUGGCACCUCGAUGUCGGCUCAUCACAUCCUGGGGCUGAAGUAGGUCCCAAGGGUAUGGCUGUUCGCCAUUUAAAGUGGUACGCGAGCUGGGUUUAGAACGUCGUGAGACAGUUCGGUCCCUAUCUGCCGUGGGCGCUGGAGAACUGAGGGGGGCUGCUCCUAGUACGAGAGGACCGGAGUGGACGCAUCACUGGUGUUCGGAUUGUCAUGCCAAUGGCACUGCCCGGUAGCUAAAUGCGGAAGAGAUAAGUGCUGAAAGCAUCUAAGCACGAAACUUGCCCCGAGAUGAGUUCUCCCUGACUCCUUGAGAGUCCUGAAGGAACGUUGAAGACGACGACGUUGAUAGGCCGGGUGUGUAAGCGCAGCGAUGCGUUGAGCUAACCGGUACUAAUGAACCGUGAGGCUUAACCUU